GAUGAUGAUGUGGCAUCACAACGAGCACAGGCCAGAGAUCUGAUAAAACAAAUUCUACAGACAAGACCAGGUGGAGGAAAUGUGCUUAAGGAGUAUGAAGAUACAGGCACAAUUAGUGAUGACACAAGGAAAGUGAUGGUGAACAUCUUAGUUGCACACAUGAUGGAGACAGAAGGAAGGGUCCCACAUCGACUUACCAAACAAAAGUAUGGAUUGGGAAUUAUCACCUUGUUUCCCUCACUCAGAGAUCCCCAAG